CUGCGGAAGGAUCAUUACCGAGUGCGGGUCCUUUGGGCCCAACCUCCCAUCCGUGUCUAUUAUACCCUGUUGCUUCGGCGGGCCCGCCGCUUGUCGGCCGCCGGGGGGGCGCCUUUGCCCCCCGGGCCCGUGCCCGCCGGAGACCCCAACACGAACACUGUCUGAAAGCGUGCAGUCUGAGUUGAUUGAAUGCAAUCAGUUAAAACUUUCAACAAUGGAUCUCUUGGUUCCGGCAUCGAUGAAGAACGCAGCGAAAUGCGAUAACUAAUGUGAAUUGCAGAAUUCAGUGAAUCAUCGAGUCUUUGAACGCACAUUGCGCCCCCUGGUAUUCCGGGGGGCAUGCCUGUCCGAGCGUCAUUGCUGCCCUCAAGCCCGGCUUGUGUGUUGGGUCGCCGUCCCCCUCUCCGGGGGGACGGGCCCGAAAGGCAGCGGCGGCACCGCGUCCGAUCCUCGAGCGUAUGGGGCUUUGUCACAUGCUCUGUAGGAUUGGCCGGCGCCUGCCGACGUUUUCCAACCAUUUUUUCCAGGUUGACCUCGGAUCAGGUAGGGAUACCCGCUGAACUUAAGCAUAUCAAUAAGCGGAGGAAAGAAACCAACCGGGAUUGCCUCAGUAACGGCGAGUGAAGCGGCAAGAGCUCAAAUUUGAAAGCUGGCUCCUUCGGAGUCCGCAUUGUAAUUUGCAGAGGAUGCUUUGGGUGCGGCCCCCGUCUAAGUGCCCUGGAACGGGCCGUCA
rnacentral:rRNA from 1 species